GAUGAACGCUGGCGGCGUGCCUAAUACAUGCAAGUCGAGCGAACGGACGAGAAGCUUGCUUCUCUGAUGUUAGCGGCGGACGGGUAAGUAACACGUGGAUAACCUACCUAUAAGACUGGGAUAACUUCGGGAAACCGGAGCUAAUACCGGAUAAUAUUUUGAACCGCAUGGUUCAAAAGUGAAAGACGGUCUUGCUGUCACUUAUAGAUGGAUCCGCGCUGCAUUAGCUAGUUGGUAAGGUAACGGCUUACCAAGGCAACGAUGCAUAGCCGACCUGAGAGGGUGAUCGGCCACACUGGAACUGAGACACGGUCCAGACCCCUACGGGAGGCAGCAGUAGGGAAUCUUCCGCAAUGGGCGAAAGCCUGACGGAGCAACGCCGCGUGAGUGAUGAAGGUCUUCGGAUCGUAAAACUCUGUUAUUAGGGAAGAACAUAUGUGUAAGUAACUGUGCACAUCUUGACGGUACCUAAUCAGAAAGCCACGGCUAACUACGUG
rnacentral:rRNA from 1 species